AUGUAUCACUCGUACACUCCGGUUCCUGCGCGCCGUCCGCACCCACCUGACGACUGCUCGCUACGUUUUGUUAGCC
rnacentral:sRNA from 1 species